rnacentral:rRNA from 1 species
ACUCCUACGGGAGGCAGCAGUGGGGAAUAUUGCACAAUGGGGGAAACCCUGAUGCAGCCAUGCCGCGUGUGUGAAGAAGGCCUUCGGGUUGUAAAGCACUUUCAGUAGGGAGGAAGGUAGUGUAGUUAACACCUGCAUUAUUUGACGUUACCUACAGAAGAAGCACCGGCUAACUCCGUGCCAGCAGCCGCGGUAAUACGGAGGGGUUAGCGUUGUUCGGAAUUACUGGGCGUAAAGCGCACGUAGGCGGACUAUUAAGUUAGAGGUGAAAUCCCAGGGCUCAACCCUGGAACUGCCUUUAAUACUGGUAGUCUUGAGUUCGAGAGAGGUGAGUGGAAUUCCGAGUGUAGAGGUGAAAUUCGUAGAUAUUCGGAGGAACACCAGUGGCGAAGGCGGCUCACUGGCUCGAUACUGACGCUGAGGUGCGAAAGUGUGGGGAGCAAACAGGAUUAGAUACCCUGGUAGCUACG